AGAGAGAGAGAGAGAGAGACUAUGUCCAAAUGAAAAGAAGAAUCCGAUACUAGCGAAAACCAUAACCAGAGUUCAUAUAAGGAAUCCAAUACUUAUGGGCGUGGACUGACUCAAAUUUUUUGAUCCAGUUAAAAAUGCAAAGCCAAAAUUGCCUCUCGUCCUGUACAUCUUGUCCAUUUAGUUCGGGGAAUGUGAACAGAAUGUUGGUGGCUGCUUGAAGCCGGAAAUGUCAAACAACUCCAUGAACCUCAGAUCUGAUACUCUAGCUUUUUCAGCAGCAUACCUUUGGUACUCAUCAAAAAUUGAAGUGAGGCACCAUUUCUGUAAUUUUCUGAGACACCCCACAAGGCUACCAGUGCGGUGCUUUCCUCUUUUGCAGUGAAUUAACAGAGGGCGGUUCUUUUCAUCAAGGACAACUUUCAAAGCUUCCUUUAUUGUUUCCUCUGGGAUGUUAACCAAUGGUGGCUCCUUAGAUCCUUCAAUAGCAAACUGAAAAAGCCGAAUUCCGUUCGCAUUUAGAAACUCCACAUUAUCUUCAGGAUAUCGCUCUGGACACAAAUAUAUGAUAGAACGAAGACCUAGGGUUUGUAAAAAGGCAAAGUUAGCAGUAUCAGGAAAACCAGACCGGAAAACGCCGUAAUCAACCAUAGCGAAAUUGAGAGGCGGAACAAGUAGUCCUUCACCAUCCAACACCGGUAAAUAACUCUCCGGCAGCAAACCGCCGUCGUCGUCUUCGUCGGAGCUGGAAUUAACGAUCGGACGACACGUGGAUCGAUCGCCGUUCUCCAAUCGCAUUGCUGCUGUUGGCGCCAAGUUAAAAAGGAGAUACGUAUUUAAUUAGUAAUUGAAAAAAUGUAAUA
rnacentral:misc_RNA from 1 species